rnacentral:rRNA from 1 species
AUUGAACGCUGGCGGCAUGCCUUACACAUGCAAGUCGAACGGCAGCGGGGACUUCGGUCCGCCGGCGAGUGGCGAACGGGGGAGUAGAGCAUCGGAACGUACCCGGAAGUGGGGGAUAACGUAGCGAAAGUUACGCUAAUACCGCAUAUUCUGUGAGCAGGAAAGAGGGGGAUCUUCGGACCUCUUGCUUUCGGAGCGGCCGAUGUCAGAUUAGCUAGUUGGUGAGGUAAGGGUUCACCAAGGCGACGCUCUGUAGCGGGUCUGAGAGGAUGAUCCGCCACACUGGAACUGAGACACGGUCCAGACUCCUACGGGAGGCAGCAGUGGGGAAUUUUGGACAAUGGGCGCAAGCCUGAUCCAGCCAUGCCGCGUGAGUGAAGAAGGCCUUCGGGUUGUAAAGCUCUUUCGGCCGGGAAGAAAUCGCAUGGGUUAAUACCCUGUGCGGAUGACGGUACCGGCAUAAGAAGCACCGGCUAACUACGUGCCAGCCGCCGCAGUAAAAC